AGCCGGAUCCCUAGCCUGCAUAUACAUAGGCCACGAUCUCUUGUAGUCUAGGACGCGAGGUAAUGGACAGUCAGGACAUCAGUUCACGUCAGAGUGAAAUCCUGAUCACUGAAGCCUACUUACUGCGAGCAUUGCCAACGAUGUUUCCUCAUUCCAGUACCGAAGUUAGGGGAUCGAAGCCGAUCCGAUUCAGUCGACGUCGUAGCCUUAACUUAGCCGAUUGGGGUUCGCACGGUUUAUUCAUGCACCUUCCGCCCCCUACCAGGCAAUCAAAUACCUUGGCUCCCAGGGGGAGUUAUGUCCCUAGCCUGAAACUUAAAGAAAUUGACCGGAAGGGCACCCCCGGGGUUGGGACUGCGGCUUAAUUUGACUCAACCCGGGGAAGCUCACCAGGUCCAGACACAAUAAGGAUUGACAGAUUGAGAGCUCUUUCUUGAUUUUGUGGGUGGUGGUGCAUGGCCGUUCUUAGUUGGUGGGGUGACUUGUCUGCUUAAUUGCGAUAACGAACGAGACCUUAACCUGCUAAAUAGCCCGCAUUGCUCCGGCAGUGCGCUGGCUUCUUAGAGGGACUUUUGGCUCAAGCCGAAGGAAGUUGAGGCAAUAACAGGUCUGUGAUGCCCUUAGAUGUUCUGGGCCCACGCGCGCUACACUGACGGGGUCAGCGAGUUCCUCGCCGAAAGGCCCGGGUAAUCUUGUUAGCCCCCGUCGUGCUGGGGAUAGAGCAUAUCAAUUACACUCGAAAAAGAGGUUCCCUAGUAAGCGCAAGUCAUCAUCUUGCGCUGGGUUAAACCCAGAGCUUUCACGCCCCCACCUAAAGGCGAUUUCCGGUCCCCCCAUAAACGCCGCCCUAAAAA
rnacentral:rRNA from 1 species